rnacentral:hammerhead_ribozyme from 1 species
GCACUGCCGAGGAGUCACACAAUAAGACGAAACGGCCGUCCAGUGU